CCCUUAGAUGUUCUGGGCCGCACGCGCGCUACACUGAUGCAUUCAACAAGCCUAGCCUUGACCGAGAGGUCCGGGUAAUCUUUGAAACUGCAUCGUGAUGGGGCUAGAUUAUUGCAAUUAUUAAUCUUCAACGAGGAAUGCCUAGUAAGCGUGAUUCAUCAAAUCGCGUUGAUUACGUCCCUGCCCUUUGUACACACCGCCCGUCGCUCCUACCGAUCGAAGAGUUAGGUGAAUUGUUUUGAUCGAUAAGAUUUGACUAUGGUCAACUCUCGUUGUGAAAUUCUGUGAAGCUGACUGUUUAGAGGAAGGAAAAGUCGUAACA
rnacentral:rRNA from 1 species